UACGUAGGGUGCAAGCGUUGUCCGGAAUUAUUGGGCGUAAAGAGCUCGUAGGCGGUCUGUUGCGUCGGCUGUGAAAACCCGGGGCUCAACCCCGGGCCUGCAGCCGAUACGGGCAGACUAGAGUUUGGCAGGGGAGACUGGAAUUCCUGGUGUAGCGGUGAAAUGCGCAGAUAUCAGGAGGAACACCGGUGGCGAAGGCGGGUCUCUGGGCCGAUACUGACGCUGAGGAGCGAAAGCGUGGGGAGCAAACAGG
rnacentral:rRNA from 1 species